GGACUACACGGGUAUCUAAUCCUGUUUGCUCCCCACGCUCUCGCGCCUCAGCGUCAGUCUCUGUCCAGGCAGCCGCCUUCGCCACCGGUGUUCCUUCCGAUCUCUACGCAUUUCACUGCUACACCGGAAAUUCCACUGCCCUCUACAGUACUCCAGCCUUCCAGUCAUCGAUGCCGUUCCCAGGUUAAGCCCGGGGCUUUCACAUCAAUCUUAAAAGACCGCCUACGCGCCCUUUACGCCCAGUGAUUCCGAUUAACGCUCGCACCCUCUGUAUUACCGCGGCUGCUGGCAC
rnacentral:rRNA from 1 species